rnacentral:rRNA from 1 species
GCGGCGUGCUUAACACAUGCAAGUCGAACGGAAAGGCCCUGCUUUUGUGGGGUGCUCGAGUGGCGAACGGGUGAGUAACACGUGAGUAACCUGCCCUUGACUUUGGGAUAACUUCGGGAAACUGGGGCUAAUACCGGAUAGGAGCUCCUGCUGCAUGGUGGGGGUUGGAAAGUUUCGGCGGUUGGGGAUGGACUCGCGGCUUAUCAGCUUGUUGGUGGGGUAGUGGCUUACCAAGGCUUUGACGGGUAGCCGGCCUGAGAGGGUGACCGGCCACAUUGGGACUGAGAUACGGCCCAGACUCCUACGGGAGGCAGCAGUGGGGAAUAUUGCACAAUGGGCGGAAGCCUGAUGCAGCAACGCCGCGUGCGGGAUGACGGCCUUCGGGUUGUAAACCGCUUUCGCCUGUGACGAAGCGUGAGUGACGGUAAUGGGUAAAGAAGCACCGGCUAACUACGUGCCAGCAGCCGCGGUGAUACGUAGGGUGCGAGCGUUGUCCGGAUUUAUUGGGCGUAAAGGGCUCGUAGGUGGUUGAUCGCGUCGGAAGUGUAAUCUUGGGGCUUAACCCUGAGCGUGCUUUCGAUACGGGUUGACUUGAGGAAGGUAGGGGAGAAUGGAAUUCCUGGUGGAGCGGUGGAAUGCGCAGAUAUCAGGAGGAACACCAGUGGCGAAGGCGGUUCUCUGGGCCUUUCCUGACGCUGAGGAGCGAAAGCGUGGGGAGCGAACAGGCUUAGAUACCCUGGUAGUCCACGCUGUAAACGGUGGGUACUAGGUGUGGGGUCCAUUCCACGGGUUCCGUGCCGUAGCUAACGCUUUAAGUACCCCGCCUGGGGAGUACGGCCGCAAGGCUAAAACUCAAAGGAAUUGACGGGGCCCCGCACAAGCGGCGGAGCAUGCGGAUUAAUUCGAUGCAACGCGUAGAACCUUACCUGGGUUUGACAUGGAUCGGGAGUGCUCAGAGAUGGGUGUGCCUCUUUUGGGGUCGGUUCACAGGUGGUGCAUGGCUGUCGUCAGCUCGUGUCGUGAGAUGUUGGGUUAAGUCCCGCAACGAGCGCAACCCUUGUUCACUGUUGCCAGCACGUUAUGGUGGGGACUCAGUGGAGACCGCCGGGGUCAACUCGGAGGAAGGUGGGGAUGACGUCAAGUCAUCAUGCCCCUUAUGUCCAGGGCUUCACGCAUGCUACAAUGGCUGGUACAGAGAGUGGCGAGCCUGUGAGGGUGAGCGAAUCUCGGAAAGCCGGUCUCAGUUCGGAUUGGGGUCUGCAACUCGACCUCAUGAAGUCGGAGUCGCUAGUAAUCGCAGAUCAGCAACGCUGCGGUGAAUACGUUCCCGGGGCUUGUACACACCGCCCGUCAAGUCAUGAAAGUUGGUAACACCCGAAGCCGGUGGCCUAACCGUUGUGGGGGAGCCGUCGAAGGUGGGACUGGUGAUUAGGACUAAGUCGU